CGGUAGAUGCACCCUGAUAGUUAACCCCGGCACGACACCCAGCCGGGGUUUUUUGU
rnacentral:sRNA from 1 species